GUGUUGACAUUCACAACUAUUUGCGCAUGUACAAGUUAAUUGUUCUUAUUAGAAUAUCAAAGUUGUUUUAUGAAUAGGAAAAAAUCGAUGCGAAAAUUAUUUGGGGGCAGGAAUUUCAAAUGUUGAGAAAUGUACAUUGAAUAUUGAUAAAGCAAAACAAAGAUUUUCGUUACCGUAUAAGGUCAAAAUCGAUCAUGCCCGCUUGGUUAGUACCUAUAUCCGGUGUACUGAUGAUACACGGUGAAAAUGGACAAUUUUAGAGAAACAAAAUUUAUUCUAUUCGAACUAUUUGAUAUUCAUUUAGUUUUAU
rnacentral:lncRNA from 1 species